UACGAAGGGGGCUAGCGUUGCUCGGAAUGACUGGGCGUAAAGGGCGCGUAGGCGGCUUGCACCGUCAGAUGUGAAAUUCCUGGGCUUAACCUGGGGGCUGCACUUGAUACGUGUGGGCUUGAGUGCGGAAGAGGGUCGUGGAAUUCCCAGUGUAGAGGUGAAAUUCGUAGAUAUUGGGCAGAACACCGGUGGCGAAGGCGGCGACCUGGUCCGUGACUGACGCUGAGGUGCGAGAGCGUGGGGAGCGAACCGG
rnacentral:rRNA from 1 species